rnacentral:rRNA from 1 species
UACGUAGGGGGCAAGCGUUGUCCGGAUUCAUUGGGCGUAAAGAGCUCGUAGGCGGCUUGGCAAGUCGGGUGUGAAAACUCCAGGCUCAACCUGGAGACGCCACCCGAUACUGCCAUGGCUAGAGUCCGGUAGGGGACCACGGAAUUCCUGGUGUAGCGGUGAAAUGCGCAGAUAUCAGGAGGAACACCAAUGGCGAAGGCAGCUCGCUGGAACGGUACUGACGCUGAGGCGCGAAAGCGUGGGGAGCAAACAGG